UAACAUUGUCAAAUGCUUAGAAAGAUGCUG
rnacentral:piRNA from 1 species